GGAUAGGGCCAUCUGGCUGUGACAUCUGUCACCCCAUUGAUCACCAGGGUUGAUUUGGCUGAUCUGGCUGACUAGGUGGGUGUCCCCUUCCUCCCUCACCGCUCCACAUGCAUCUGUCCCGAAGCUGCAUGCUCGAUUGAAGACGACCAUCCCUGAGAGAGGAGGACUGGUCUUUGGUCAAGGAUAUACGAGUGCUCCCCUGCUAGAACCUGCAAACAGGCUCUCAAAAGCAGGAUAGGACUGUAGCGGAGUGGGUGUUUUUCUCUGCCCAGAGACUCUGAACACACCAACACAAAGUCUUCACGUGAGUACUUCAAAAU
rnacentral:snRNA from 10 species